UACGUAGGGGGCAAGCGUUAUCCGGAUUCACUGGGUGUAAAGGGAGCGUAGACGGCGACGCAAGUCUGGAGUGAAAGCCCGGGGCCCAACCCCGGGACUGCUCUGGAAACUGUACGGCUGGAGUGCAGGAGAGGUAAGCGGAAUUCCUAGUGUAGCGGUGAAAUGCGUAGAUAUUAGGAGGAACACCAGUGGCGAAGGCGGCUUACUGGACUGUAACUGACGUUGAGGCUCGAAAGCGUGGGGAGCAAACAGG
rnacentral:rRNA from 1 species